rnacentral:rRNA from 1 species
UACGAAGGGGGCUAGCGUUGCUCGGAAUCACUGGGCGUAAAGCGCACGUAGGCGGCUUUCUAAGUCAGGGGGUGAAAUCCCGGAGCUCAACUCCGGAACUGCCUUUGAUACUGGAAAGCUUGAGUUCGAGAGAGGUGAGUGGAACUGCGAGUGUAGAGGUGAAAUUCGUAGAUAUUCGCAAGAACACCAGUGGCGAAGGCGGCUCACUGGCUCGAUACUGACGCUGAGGUGCGAAAGCGUGGGGAGCAAACAGG